rnacentral:rRNA from 1 species
AACGAACGCUGGCGGCAUGCCUAACACAUGCAAGUCGAACGAGACCUUCGGGUCUAGUGGCGCACGGGUGCGUAACGCGUGGGAAUCUGCCCUUGGGUUCGGAAUAACAGUUGGAAACGACUGCUAAUACCGGAUGAUGACGUAAGUCCAAAGAUUUAUCGCCCAAGGAUGAGCCCGCGUAGGAUUAGCUAGUUGGUGAGGUAAAGGCUCACCAAGGCGUCGAUCCUUAGCUGGUCUGAGAGGAUGAUCAGCCACACUGGGACUGAGACACGGCCCAGACUCCUACGCGAGGCAGCAGUGGGGAAUAUUGGAGACUGGGCGAAAGCCUGACCCAGCAAUGCCGCGUGAGUGAUGAAGGCCUUAGGGUUGUAAAGCCCUUUUACACGGGAUGAUAAUGACAGUACCGGGAGAAUAAGCUCCGGCUAACUCCGUG